rnacentral:rRNA from 1 species
CCUACGGGUGGCUGCAGUGGGGAAUAUUGGACAAUGGGCGAAAGCCUGAUCCAGCCAUGCCGCGUGUGUGAAGAAGGCCUUCGGGUUGUAAAGCACUUUCAGUGGGGAAGAAAGCCUUGGGGCUAAUACCCUCGAGGAAGGACAUCACCCACAGAAGAAGCACCGGCUAACUCCGUGCCAGCAGCCGCGGUAAUACGGAGGGUGCGAGCGUUAAUCGGAAUUACUGGGCGUAAAGCGCGCGUAGGCGGUCUGAUAAGCCGGUUGUGAAAGCCCCGGGCUCAACCUGGGAACGGCAUCCGGAACGGUCAGGCAAGAGUGCAGGAGAGGAAGGUAGAAUUCCCGGUGUAGCGGUGAAAUGCGGAGAGAGCGGGAGGAAUACCAGUGGCGAAGGCGGCCUUCUGGACUGACACUGACGCUGAGGUGCGAAAGCGUGGGUAGCAAACAGGAUUAGCUACCCGGGUAGUC